GGGCGCGUAGCUCAGUUGGUUAGAGCACUACGUUGACAUCGUAGGGGUCACAAGUUCGAAUCUUGUCGCGCCCACCA
rnacentral:tRNA from 3 species